CUUUCGAUCAGCAACGCCGCGAUGCUGCCGAUGCUGCAGCCCGGGCACAAGAAAAGGCCAGGGAUCCGGCAGCCUGCAAGGCGCCAUAUAAUGAAGCGUCGGGAUUAACCCAGUGAUAAACAGCGGGGCCGCACGUUUCAGCUUCACUGCAGGGUUAACCAUCUGUAUGUAGUGCUUGAGCGCUUUUUUUUUUUGCCUUAUCUAGUUCACCGAGCCUGGCUAUUAGCUGCAUUUCUUAUACCUUUACUCUCAAUCAUUUCCCUCUCUUUCGCUACGCUUCCUGACCGUGUGAACUGCAACCUGCCACUGAUCAGAUGUAACUUUGGGUUCACCUAUACUUCGGUAGUUUCAGUAAAGAAAGCAGCCUAGGAGCCCUCCAGCUCCUUUGUUGUCUCUCGCAGGGAGGUGUAUUUGGUGCUUACGCUCAUCAUCGGAUUCCUCCUUGCCUUGCUGGCGGUGCUGUCCUACGUCCUGCUCGUUCUAUUAUUAGCGCCGCCAGCUACUACCUCAAGGACCACUACAACCACAACCACUACAACCACCGUUACCACUACAACCAGCACCACAACCACCACAACCAGCACCACAACCACUACAAGCAGCACCACAACCACCACAACCAGCACCACAACCACCACAACAACCACUACAGCCACUACAACUACCACUACAACCAGCACCACAACCACCACAACUUCCACUAAAACUCCCACUACAACUACCACUACAACCACUACAACUACAACCACUACAAUUACUAUGACUACAACCACUACAACUACUAUGACUACCACUACGACGACCGGCAGCACAACAACGAGGAGAUGUAUUUGGUGCUUACGCUCAUCAUGGGAUUCCUCCUCGCCUUGCUGGCGGUGCUGUCCUACGUCCUGCUCCUUCUAUUAUUAGCGCCACCACCUACUACCUCAACGACCACUACAACACAACCACUACAACCACCACUACAACCAGCACCACAACCACCACAACUACU